rnacentral:rRNA from 1 species
UAAGGAAUAUUGGUCAAUGGACGCAAGUCUGAACCAGCCAUGCCGCGUGAAGGAUUAAGGCCCUCUGGGUUGUAAACUUCUUUUAUAGGGGAAGAAAUGUGACGGUUCUCCGUCACUUGACGGUACCCUGGGAAUAAGCACCGGCUAACUCCGUGCCAGCAGCCGCGGUAAUACGGAGGGUGCAAGCGUUAUCCGGAUUCACUGGGUUUAAAGGGUGCGUAGGUGGGCAGAUAAGUCAGUGGUGAAAUCUUCCGGCUUAACCGGGAAACUGCCGUUGAUACUAUUUGUCUUGAAUAUUGCGGAGGUAAGCGGAAUAUGUCAUGUAGCGGUGAAAUGCUUAGAUAUGACACAGAACACCAAUUGCGAAGGCAGCUUACUACACAAUCAUUGACACUGAGGCACGAAAGCGUGGGUAGCGAACA